CCCGAACCUGGGUGAUCUAUCCAUACUAAGAUGAAGCUUGGGUAAAACUAAGUGGAGGUCCAAACCGACUAAUGUUGAAGAAUCAACAGAUGAGUUGUGGUUAGAGGUGAAAUGCCACUAGAACCCAAAGCUAGUUGG
rnacentral:ncRNA from 1 species